UGACGUUCACUAUCAGCAAAUAUAAAAACAUGUCUACUAGGAUCAUGUACAAGGGAAAGCAUCUAAAGAAAGAAAGCAUUUGAGUUUUGGUCACCAUUCUUGCAUGGACAUUCAAGAAGGAAAAGAAGACAAGAAGAAUGUUGAUACCGGCCAAGCAGAAAGAUGGAGCACAGUGUAACAAACACAACUACAGCCACUAUUCCUCCUAUGAGAGCGUGAUCAGGGCCAUUCUGGCCAGCCAGAGAAUUGGGAUCUGGAAGAGAGCAAGGAAAAUCAUUUUAGUUAGUUAGUUCCUUUCUCCGGAACACACCUGUAACUAGAAUGAGUCAUUUUGAAGUAGCAUAUUUCUAUUAAAAUGAAAUUAUAUU